AUUGAACGCUGGCGGCAGGCCUAACACAUGCAAGUCGAACGGUAACAGGAGGAAGCUUGCUUCUUUGCUGACGAGUGGCGGACGGAUGGGUAAUGUCUGGGAAACUGCCUGAUGGAGGGGGAUAACUACUGGAAACGGUAGCUAAUACCGCAUAACGUCGCAAGACCAAAAAGGGGGACCUUCGGGCCUCUUGCCAUCGGAUGUGCCCAGAUGGGAUUAGCUAGUAGGUGGGGUAACGGCUCACCUAGGCGACGAUCCCUAGCUGGUCUGAGAGGAUGACCAGCCACACUGGAACUGAGACACGGUCCAGACUCCUACGGGAGGCAGCAGUGGGGAAUAUUGCACAAUGGGCGCAAGCCUGAUGCAGCCAUGCCGCGUGUAUGAAGAAGGCCUUCGGGUUGUAAAGUACUUUCAGCGGGGAGGAAGGGAGUAAAGUUAAUACCUUUGCUCAUUGACGUUACCCGCAGAAGAAGCACCGGCUAACUCCGUG
rnacentral:rRNA from 1 species